rnacentral:rRNA from 1 species
UACGGGGGGAGCAAGCGUUGUUCGGAUUUACUGGGCGUUAAAGGGCGCGAGGCGGUCUGACAAGUCACUUGUGAAAUCUCCGGGCUUAACUCGGGAACGGUCAAGUGAUACUGAUCGGACUAGAAGUACAGAAGGGGCGAACUGGGAAAUUCUCGGGUGUAGCGGGUAGUAAAUGCGUAGAUUAUCGAAGGAGGGAACACCU